rnacentral:rRNA from 1 species
AUUGAACGCUGGCGGCAGGCUUAACACAUGCAAGUCGAGCGGAGCGAGGGUGCUUGCACCUUAGCUUAGCGGCGGACGGGUGAGUAAUGCUUAGGAAUCUGCCUAUUAGUGGGGGACAACGUUCCGAAAGGGACGCUAAUACCGCAUACGUCCUACGGGAGAAAGCAGGGGAUCUUCGGACCUUGCGCUAAUAGAUGAGCCUAAGUCGGAUUAGCUAGUUGGUGGGGUAAAGGCCUACCAAGGCGACGAUCUGUAGCGGGUCUGAGAGGAUGAUCCGCCACACUGGGACUGAGACACGGCCCAGACUCCUACGGGAGGCAGCAGUGGGGAAUAUUGGACAAUGGGGGGAACCCUGAUCCAGCCAUGCCGCGUGUGUGAAGAAGGCCUUUUGGUUGUAAAGCACUUUAAGCGAGGAGGAGGCGCUCUAGGAUAAUACCCUAGAUGCGUGGACGUACUCGCAGAUAAGC